rnacentral:rRNA from 1 species
UACGUAGGGUGCGAGCGUUGUCCGGAAUUAUUGGGCGUAAAGAGCUUGUAGGCGGUCUGUCGCGUCUGCUGUGAAAAUCCGGGGCUCAACCUCGGGCUUGCAGUGGGUACGGGCAGACUAGAGUGCGGGUAGGGGUGACUGGAAUUCCUGGUGUAGCGGUGGAAUGCGCAGAUAUCAGGAGGAACACCGAUGGCGAAAGGCAGGUCACUGGGCCGCAACUGACGC